rnacentral:rRNA from 1 species
UACGGAGGAGGCAAGCGUUAUCCGGAAUUAUUGGGCGUAAAGAGUCCGUAGGUGGGUAACCAAGUCAGUUGUUAAAUAGUGAAGCUUAACUUCAUAGAGGCGACUGAAACUGGUUGUCUAGAGUGUGGUAGGGGUAGAGGGAAUUUCCAGUGUAGCGGUGAAAUGCGUAGAUAUUGGAAAGAACACCGGUGGCGAAAGCGCUCUACUGGGCCUGCACUGACACUGAGGGACGAAAGCUAGGGGAGCGAAAGGG